rnacentral:rRNA from 1 species
CCUACGGGUGGCAGCAGUGGGGAAUAUUGCACAAUGGGGGAAACCCUGAUGCAGCGACGCCGCGUGAGGGAGGAAGGAUCUCGGGAUGUAAAGCUCUAUCUGUAGGGAAGUAAAUGACGGUACCUGACUAAUAAGCCCCGGCUAACUACGUUCCAGCAGCCGCGGUUAUACGUAGGGGGCAAGCGUUAUCCGGAUUUACUGGGUGUAAAGGGAGCGUAGACGGUUAAUCAAGUCAGAAGUGAAAACCCAGGGCUCAACCUUGGGACUGCAUUUGAAACUGGGUAGCUAGAGUGCAGGAGAGGUAAGCGGAAUUCCUGGUGUAGCGGUGAAAUGCGUAGAUAUUAGGAAGAACACCAGUGGCGAAGGCAGCUUACUGGACUGUAACUGACGUUGAGGCUCGAAAGCGUGGGGAGCAAACAGGAUUAGAUACCCGAGUAGUC